AUUGAACGCUGGCGGCAGGCCUAACACAUGCAAGUCGAACGAGUGGCGGACGGGUGCGUAAUGUCUGGGAAAAUGCCCGCUGGAGGGGGAUAACUACUGGAAACGGUAGCUAAUACCGCAUACAAUCGGAUUUGCCCAGAUGGCAUUAGCUAGUAGGUGGGGUAACGGCUCACCUAGGCGACGAUCCCUAGCGGGUCUGAGAGGAUGACCUGCCACACAGGAACUGAGACACGGCCCAGACUCCUACGGAAGGCAGCAGUGGGGAAGAUUGGACAAUGGGCGCGAGCCUGAUGCAGCUAUGCCGCGUGUAUGAAGAAGGCCUUCGGGUUGUAAAGUACUUUCAGCAAGGAAGCGUUACUCGCAGAAGAAGCACCGGCUAACUACGUGCCAGCAGCCGCGGUGAUAC
rnacentral:rRNA from 1 species